rnacentral:rRNA from 1 species
CAGUAGCCGCGGGAAUACGUAGGUGGCAAGCGUUGUCCGGAAUUAUUGGGCGUAAAGGGCUCGCAGGCGGUUUCUUAAGUCUGAUGUGAAAGCCCCCGGCUCAACCGGGGAGGGUCAUUGGAAACUGGGAAACUUGAGUGCAGAAGAGGAGAGUGGAAUUCCACGUGUAGCGGUGAAAUGCGUAGAGAUGUGGAGGAACACCAGUGGCGGAGGCGACUCUCUGGUCUGUAACUGACGCUGAGGAGCGAAAGCGUGGGGAGCGAACAGGAUUAGAGACCCCUGUAGUCCCUGUCUCUUAUAA